rfam:Ignavibacteria bacterium RIFCSPLOWO2_12_FTLL_56_21 rifcsplowo2_12_scaffold_602, whole genome shotgun sequence.
ACACCGCACCGUUGUCCGUCACCAACCAUAUUAAAGAACCUGACAGUUUCUUAAUAUGGGAACCUGACUCAUAAGUGUGGAGCGCAAGCCACCGUCCCGCGUUUAGCGGGAGUGCCUCGCGAUGACCCCCGCCUUGGCGGGGCGAGCGGGUCGAGUGGAAGUGUAAAAUACUUAGGCAGGUACCCACUGUGUCUUGAAAAGAGGUUCUUUCAAUACACUUGGCGACGGCAGCGCGCGCGGUGUU